GGCAAGUCGAGGCGGAUGAUGGGAGCUUGCUCCAUCAUUCAGCGGCGAGAAGGGUGAGUAAUGCCUAGGAAUCUGCCUGGUAGUGGGGGACAACGUUUCGAAAGGAACGCUAAUACCGCAUACGUCCUACGGGAGAAAGCAGGGGACCUUCGGGCCUUGCGCUAUCAGAUGAGCCUAGGUCGGAUUAGCUUGUUGGUGAGGUAAUGGCUCACCAAGGCGACGAUCCGUAACUGGUCUGAGAGGAUGAUCAGUCACACUGGAACUGAGACACGGUCCAGACUCCUACGGGAGGCAGCAGUGGGGAAUAUUGGACAAUGGGCGAAAGCCUGAUCCAGCCAUGCCGCGUGUGUGAAGAAGGUCUUCGGAUUGUAAAGCACUUUAAGUUGGGAGGAAGGGUUGUAGAUUAAUACUCUGCAAUUUUGACGUUACCGACAGAAUAAGCACCGGCUAACUCUGUGCCAGCAGCCGCGGUAAUACAGAGGGUGCAAGCGUUAAUCGGAAUUACUGGGCGUAAAGCGCGCGUAGGUGGUUUGUUAAGUUGGAUGUGAAAGCCCCGGGCUCAACCUGGGAACUGCAUCCAAAACUGGCAAGCUAGAGUACGGUAGAGGGUGGUGGAAUUUCCUGUGUAGCGGUGAAAUGCGUAGAUAUAGGAAGGAACACCAGUGGCGAAGGCGACCACCUGGACUGAUACUGACACUGAGGUGCG
rnacentral:rRNA from 1 species